rnacentral:rRNA from 1 species
UGGGGAAUAUUGGACAAUGGGGGCAACCCUGAUCCAGCCAUGCCGCGUGAGUGAUGAAGGCCUUCGGGUUGUAAAGCUCUUUUGGCGGGGACGAUGAUGACGGUACCCGCAGAAUAAGCCCCGGCUAACUUCGUGCCAGCAGCCGCGGUAAGACGAAGGGGGCAAGCGUUGUUCGGAAUUACUGGGCGUAAAGGGCGCGUAGGCGGUUUGCUUAGUCAGGCGUGAAAGCCCUGGGCUUAACCUGGGAUGUGCGCUUGAUACUGGCAGGCUUGAGUGUGGGAGAGGUUGGUGGAAUUCCCAGUGUAGAGGUGAAAUUCGUAGAUAUUGGGAAGAACACCGGUGGCGAAGGCGGCCAACUGGACCACAACUGACGCUGAGGCGCGAAAGCGUGGGGA